UACGUAGGGCGCAAGCGUUGUCCGGAAUUAUUGGGCGUAAAGAGCUCGUAGGCGGUUUGUCGCGUCUGUCGUGAAAGCUUGGGGCUUAACCCCAAGUCUGCGGUGGAUACGGGCAGACUAGAGGCAGGUAGGGGAGAACGGAAUUCCCGGUGUAGCGGUGAAAUGCGUAGAUAUCAGGAGGAACACCAAUGGCGAAGGCAGAUCUCUGGGCCGUAACUGACGCUGAGGAGCGAAAGCAUGGGGAGCGAACAGG
rnacentral:rRNA from 1 species